AUUGAACGCUGGCGGCAUGCUUUACACAUGCAAGUCGAACGGCAGCGCGGGCUUCGGCCUGGCGGCGAGUGGCGAACGGGUGAGUAAUACAUCGGAACGUGCCCAGUAGUGGGGGAUAGCUCGGCGAAAGCCGGAUUAAUACCGCAUACGACCUGAGGGUGAAAGCGGGGGAUCUUCGGACCUCGCGCUAUUGGAGCGGCCGAUGGCAGAUUAGCUAGUUGGUGGGGUAAGGGCCUACCAAGGCGACGAUCUGUAGCUGGUCUGAGAGGACGACCAGCCACACUGGGACUGAGACACGGCCCAGACUCCUACGGGAGGCAGCAGUGGGGAAUUUUGGACAAUGGGCGAAAGCCUGAUCCAGCAAUGCCGCGUGUGUGAUGAAGGCCUUCGGGUUGUAAAGCACUUUUGGCGGGAACGAAAGGGACUGUGCCAAUACCACGGUUCGAUGACGGUACCCGCAGAAUAAGCACCGGCUAACUACGUG
rnacentral:rRNA from 1 species